AUUUUACUUGGAUCCUAAGUGCCUAUUUAAGAUGUAAUUAACAAAAUCUAUCUAUAUCUCUAGGAGAGGCAAACCAAUAUUGGAGUGACAAGUGUCAUCACCAUAAAAAUCUAAUUUUAAAAUAUAAAAAUAAUUGGAAAUUCAUAAAAAAAAAAACUGUAAAAUUAAAAAUUGUCAAUCCACAAAAACCGAAAUUAAAAAAAAAAAAAAAAACGAAAAAGAAAAUUGUAGUUGCAAAUUACAGUUUUGGAGAUGGUUAUAACUUGAUACACAGAACUCCCAACACCAAGAAAUUGACGAUGGAAAAUUUUCAAAAACAGAAAAGAAGAAGAAGAAGAAUCAUUCUGUGACAAUGGAAACCAUCGCUGAAAACUCUAAUUAAAAAAAUCGGUAUGGAUCGCAGGUAGAUUAUUCUGGAGAGGCAACAUCGGCUCAGUUGUGUAGAUAAGGAAACCUAAACUCUGAAUAUUAUUGGUCUCCUUUCAGUGAUGCUGAAAUAAAUUCAAUUCAAGGGACUUUUCUAUGCAAGUGAAAAAAGGUCAUGAAAAGAUAAAACUAAGUAGUUGGACUUCUGGAUCCAAGUGAUGGUGAUUUCUUUGAAGCUAUGGCAAUGAUGUUCAUGCUGGUGACAAACAAAUUGAAAAAAAUGCUGGUGAAAUAUCAAUGUGUUGCAUUUCAACCAUUCAUAGCCGCUACCCUUCGGGUGCGCAUAGGGUAAAGCCAGCUCCUGUGUAAUAGCUCGCAAACCACAUAGGAGAGAUAACCCGCACUAGGCAACCCGUGCGACGAGCUCAACCCAGAAGGUAAAUCCCCUACUGUUGUAGGCAGGAGUUGCGAACCUAAAACCUCCAUUAUGAAAGGCCCAUGCUCAACCAACUGAGCCACCCUUGCGGGUAAUACGACUUCUUUUUCUUUAUUGAUAAAAGAUAAAUUCUUUAGGACCUGAUCAGACGACAAUAUUUAAGUAUAAUCGCAAGAUGAUGAAUGAUGCCAGUUCAGUUGUUGCACCUGUUGGUAGCACUAUUACUACAACACCUUUGCUGGGAAGGAGAAAGAAAAAAACAUGUGAGGAAGAUCGAUUCAAAUGAGGAUUGUAUGGCUGAAAGUGAGAUGAUGUCUUCUUUACAAACUCCAUCAAGAAAAGCAUAUCAGAAAGUGGAUCGUUCGUGCUAGAAGAUGGUGAUGAUUGGAAUGCAAAACUAUCCACCAAGAGAAGCAAAUCCGUAGGCAGAUCUUCAAUGCAAGAACAUGAUAAUGAUGAGCUGAAUGUGAAACUAUUCAGCAAUAGGGUUCAGAAAGUGAUUAAGAAGGAAAAAAACACGAGUUCUUCACUUAUAGGAGACUGUAGUAACUAAAUGCACACUUUUAUUCCAGUCAGGUGUUUUUCUUUGUUAAACAUUUAUUUUACAAUGUCUAUAAGCUAUUUUGGAUAUGAACAAGUUUUA